rnacentral:rRNA from 1 species
AGCGAACGCUGGCGGCAGGCCUAACACAUGCAAGUCGAACGAAGCCUUCGGGCUUAGUGGCGGACGGGUGAGUAACACGUGGGAACGUACCUUUUGGUUCGGAACAAAUCAGGGAAACUUGAGCUAAUACCGGAUGAGCCCUUAGGGGGAAAGAUUUAUCGCCGAAAGAGCGGCCCGCGUUAGAUUAGCUAGUUGGUGAGGUAAAGGCUCACCAAGGCAACGAUCUAUAGCUGGUCUGAGAGGAUGAUCAGCCACACUGGGACUGAGACACGGCCCAGACUCCUACGGGAGGCAGCAGUGGGGAAUCUUGCGCAAUGGGCGAAAGCCUGUCGCAGCCAUGCCGCGUGAAUGAUGAAGGUCUUUGGAUUGUAAAAUUCUUUUACCAGGGACGAUAAUGACGGUACCUGGAGAAAAAGCCCCGGCUAACUACGUGCCAGCAGCCGCGGUAACAC